AGAGUUUGAUCCUGGCUCAGGAUGAACGUUGGCGGCGUGACUAAGGCAUGCAAGUCGAGCGACGUACUUUUUUGUAGCAAUACAAAAAAGUGGCGAGCGGCAAACGGGUGAGUAACACAUUGGUAACCUACCUUCAAGACGGGGACAACUCAGCGAAAGUUGAGCUAAUACCCGAUAGUUAUGCGGGGUCGAAUGACAUUCGCAUAUAAAUGGUUUUUCGCUUGAAGAGGGGCCUAUGGCCUAUCAGCUAGUUGGCGGGGUAAAAGCCCACCAAGGCGACGACGGGUAGCAGGCGUGAGAGCGUGACCUGCCUCACUGGGACUGAGACACUGCCCAGACACCUACGGGUGGCUGCAGUCAUGAAUAUUCCACAAUGGACGAAAGUCUGAUGGAGCGACGCCGCGUGCAGGAAGACGCCCCUCGGGGUGUAAACUGCUUUUAUAAGGGACGAAUUCGUGACGGUACCUUAUGAAUAAGUGGUUGCUAACUCUGUGCCAGCAGCAGCGGUAAUACAGAGACCACAAACGUUAUCCGGAGUUAUUGGGCGUAAAGGGUCCGCAGGUGGUUGUGUUAGUCAGUGGUUAAAUCCCAGCGCUUAACGUUGGGGCUGCCAUUGAUACUGCACAACUUGAGAUCGGGAGAGGUAUACGGAACGCACGGUGUAGUCGUAAUAAGCGUUGAUAUCGUGCGGAACACCAAAGGCGAAGGCAGUAUACUGGAACGAUUCUGACACUCAGGGACGAAAGCGUGGGGAGCGAAUGGGAUUAGAUACCCCAGUAGUCCACGCCCUAAACGAUGCACACUAGGUAUUGGGAGUAUCGACCCUCCCGGUGCCGUUUUAUAGAGCUAACGCGUUAAGUGUGCCGCCUGGGUAGUACGAUCGCAAGAUUAAAACUCAAAGGAAUAGACGGGGACCCGCACAAGCGGAGGAUCAUGUGGUUUAAUUCGAUAUCACGCGGCAAACCUCACCUAGGCUUGACAUGUCACUGCAAGCUCCGAGAAACCGGAGCCGCUUUCGAAGGUGUGACACAGGUGCUGCAUGGUUGCCGUCAGCUCGUGCCGUGAGGUGUACCCUUAAGUGGGGUAACGAGCGCAACCCCCGUGUUGUGUUAAAUGUACACAACAGACUGCCUACGCAAGUAGGAGGAAGGCGGGGAUGACGUCAAAUCAGCAUGGCUCUUACGCCUAGGGCUACACACAUGAUACAAUGGCCGGUACAGAGGGUAGUUAACUCGCGAGAGGGAACCAAUCCCAGAAAACCGGCCCCAGUUCGGAUUGUAGGCUGCAACUCGCCUACAUGAAGUUGGAUUCGCUAGUAAACGCGCAUCAGCAACGGCGCGUUGAAUACGUUCUCGGGUCUUGUACUCACCGCCCGUCAAACCACGAAAGUUGGGGGUGCCCGAAGGCUCCGCAAGGGGACGAAGGCAAACUCAGUAAUUGGGGUUAAGUCGUAACAAGGCAUCCGUAGCGGAAGCUGUGGAUG
rnacentral:rRNA from 1 species